CUCUUCGAAGGCAUUUCCAAUGUGAAAGAUCUUAUCCUAAAGGCAGCAUUGUGUUUCUUUUAUUUAGCUCUUAUGCUGAGCAGCCCUGGACCACAUUUCAGGAAAUGUCUUAAUCUGGUCACUCAUCACAUGAGCAGAGGAAGGCUAAAUCACUCAAAUGUUCACUUUGCAACACUGAGAAACACAGCAGAACAUUGCACUUUGUUAUCAAUGCAGAAUUCAGACUAAAGACAUUCAAUCUUUCCAAAAAAUCUGGUCAUGGAGCUCAAAAUGAUCUUAAUCUUACUUUGUCUCUGUAAGACUGCCCUGAAUUGUGCACUACAAGAAAGACGAAAGACAUCAAGGCCCUGGAGCACAUCCAAAGAAGCACAACGAAUCUGCGAAGGGUCAGGAGUGCAAGUCUUACAAGGAGAAGCUGUGGAAUGGGGAUUGUUUUGUCUGGAGAAGAGGAGGCUCAGGGGAGACUGUAUCGCUCUCUACAGCUCCCUAAAAGGAGGUUGUGGUUGGCUUCUUCUUACAGAAAUAGAAAGCAGAAUAUGCAGGUCCAUGCCAAGAGAAAAGUUCACUGUUUGAGAUUCCAGGUCCGUAAAAUACACAUAAGAACAUUUACUUCCAUGGUAAAACGUCCUGAGACGAGUGGUUAAGACAAUUUUAACAUGGCCAACAUUACUGCCUGGCUCACUGCAUCCUCCUAUGUUCAACCCAUAAGUAUACCUUGAAGAAAUUUUAACUAGCAUUUAAAAUACAGUUAAUUGCUUUGUUAACAGACAUAUCCAUCUGACAGGCAUUAGAAUGAUUGAGUUUACCUGCUGACUCUUAAAACUCCUGUUUCAAACACA
ensembl:lncRNA